UACAGAGGUGGCAAGCGUUGUUCGGAAUUACUGGGCGUAAAGGGCGCGUAGGCGGCCAUCUAAGUCAGACGUGAAAUCCCCCGGCUUAACCUGGGAACUGCGUCUGAUACUGGAAGGCUUGAGUAUGGGAGAGGGAUGUAGAAUUCCAGGUGUAGCGGUGAAAUGCGUAGAUAUCUGGAGGAAUACCGGUGGCGAAGGCGGCAUCCUGGACCAACACUGACGCUGAGGUGCGAAAGCGUGGGUAGCGAACAGG
rnacentral:rRNA from 1 species